rnacentral:lncRNA from 10 species
UACAAAAGGCCUGCAGCUUAACUCGCUGCAGCUCGGGGGGAUGGAUUGCCUACUAACUGCAGGCGCCGUGGUGCGCCGAGAAAACAGCGAAAACUGGGCCAGCGGAGGCGGGUGGGCCUCCUUGGAGGAGCGCACCUGGGGUGCGGGAGCGCCUCCUGGCAGCCUUGGCCUCGCCUCCCACGCGUGGACGCGCAGGGCCCAGGACACCGCAGCCGCCUACUCCUUUCUGCAGCCCCGGGGUCUGAAGAAUGGCUAUUGCUGACUCCUGGAAUGCUGUUUGGAAAAGACUACGGAGAGAGUGAUUCUUCAUCAGUGAUUAAGCAUCUUUUCAUGAUUAAUGCAGAGCUGUGAGAAGACAGAAGCAGUGGAAUGACACCACAACAUCUGUGCAUUGAGAAGGGCACUCUGCUGCGGCAUGGCAAUAAAGAAACUGAGGCUCAAUGAACUUGUAACGCUUUAGUGUCAGAGCUCUAGAAUGGGUGAAGGCCAGAUUCAGACCCAGGCAUCGUGACUCCCAAGUCUGCUUGUGGAUCCUUGAAAGCAAGGGUGAGCCAUAAGCAUUGCACCUUUGAGAGAACUGUUCCCUUGCCUGCCAAAAUCUCAGAUGGAGCUUUAGGACUCAUGGAAGACCUUCCUCAAGGGGGACUUGAAGUGCUCUGGGAAAAAUAUGCGAGUGUGACCCUUUCCAGGGGGCAGCACGAGGAUGGCCAAACCCGCUACUCUCCCUGGGGCUGGGUAAGGAGAUCCGGCUGCAAGUUUCUGAAAAAAUUUUAAAAAGGCUGUUAAUUUCUGAAACUAGAAAAUAUACUUGACUCCUGGACCCAGAAAAUACUCUUCCAAGUUGCAAAAAAACAAUCAUUCUUUUUAAAUGGGGUAACAUUUCUGGAAUACAUCGUUCCCAAAAUAAGAUCCUCCAAUUUGGAAAAAUCUAGCUGAAAUAAAUGAAAAUAACAGAUGGAAGAGAAAUAACAGAAGUUAUCCAAAGAACAGCAAGA